UACCUUCACCCACACUCCUGUACUUUUAUUACUAUCUAGUAAGGCCAGAAUGUCAGCAUUAGUAAAUUUAUACAUAGACACGUCUUUUGGUGUUUGUAUGGCAUGUUUGUCAAUGGGAUUUGCCUAUCUCACCAUAGUAAAAUCCUGAAUCUCUAAAGAAUUCCUGAAAAGGAGGCAGAACUAUGUUCCCUUUUAUAGAUUCUUAAGACAUAUUAGGAAAGCCUGAAGAACUUGCUUUGUUUUUGUAGUAAGGUUUCUGCAAAGGUCUUGUUUUAUUUUAAAUAUGUAUCACUUCUUGUCUAUCUUAUUUUUACUGAAAGACUGUGAGUAGCUGGGAAAACAAAGAGGUGAAGCCGUCAUCUCUAGCCAUCAUCUGUCACAAAGAAACUGUCAUUUUAGAGGGAAAAGGGAUUUUCAGUCAGGCUAUAUGAAACUCCCAUUUUGUUUGGCUGUUGUUAAAAUGUUUAAUUCAAGCUUUGGGCGAACAGCCAAGAGAAAAAAAUGUCACUCAUCACCCUACUGCUUCCGAUGGGAACUGAGGGGGACUUCCAUUCUACUCCUUUCCUCCUCCAUUGCUCUUAUGUGUAAAACCAAGAUAAGACGGUAAUACUGCACAAAUUUUCAAAGGAAAAAGGAAAAAAGUACAAGAAAAUUUUAAACUGCACCUUGCACCUUUUAGAUAUUUAGUAGAUUGGGAAAAGUACCAUUUUUAUUUGUCUUUGCAGACCAUCUUUAAAUUGUGCUAUGCUCACAUUUACCAUAUACAUUUAAUCAGAAUCUGUGCAAGAAAAGGGAAGUCACCUGAAGAAUUAUGAGAAUUAGUUACCUUUGGGGAAAAAGUUCAGACACUUAGCCAUAUUUUAGGUUGAUGGUUUGUCUUUUUGUUGUUUUUUUUUUUUUUCCUUGUUUUGUUUUGUUUUAAUUGGAAGUCCUUGAGUUAGUUGUUAACAUAAACUGAGCCCAUUAGUUAUUUACAUGGUAACAUGAGGAUACUUCCUGUCCUUAAGUGUUUGAUGUUUUACAGUAAUGGAGAGCUGGGGUAAGUCAGACAACUUCAACAGACGUAUUCCAUUGAGUCCUCAUUUCAUCCAGCAACUUGUUUAUGCUGUUCUAAAUCCGCUCAGUUUUUCUUUCAGUGAAGAUCGCCUUUUAAAAUUUUCUUAUGUCUCAAAUACAAUAUUUAGACAUUUCCAUGAGUAUAAGGUGGUCCCUGUCAACUUGCUAACAACUACAUUCUGGGCUACCAGCCAGCUUGGCCUUUGUCUUAGCAUUUAUUUAGGCUAGAGUAUGAUAUGUAAACAGAAAAAGACUUUGUAAGCAAAAAGUACGUUUAAGUCAUCUAAAUAAUUAUAUAUUUAAGAAGUCUAAAUGAAAAAGUGUUACUGAGCUUGAAAAGUUAAGCAGCUAGAUAUUAGGAAAUUCCAGAUUAUACGCAGCAUUAGUUUGAUCCCAGAGUACCCAUUCAGUGCUAAAAACAGGACAUGCUUCUGGGAGGAGAGAGACUGCAUUAAAAAAAUGUAGCUAAAGAUUAUAUUAUUGGCUGUACACCAGUGGGUAGAAUUAAGUCUGUUUGGGCCAUUAUGAAGCUAGAAUUUCCUAAUCUUGCUUCAGCUUGCAGUUUAAGUAAUGUUCCUUCAUCGUUUCUUUUAGUUAUGUAAUUUUCCACAUAGCUUUUAAAAAAGAGAGAAAAAUGAUUUGUCAUUGCAUGAUGGGGUGGUUGUUGCAUUACUGAACCCACAUCACUUGUGCAAGGAUUUCAUCUGAGCUGGGAGCAGUAGAAGAUAAUCAUCACAAAGCCAACGGCCAAUUCUUGGAUCACAGAAGAGGUCCACAUGCUGGUCAGGAGGCACAAAGUUCUGCUCAUCCCUUUUCUAGAUGUGAAAGGCGCCCACUUUUGGGGGAAGGAAGAUGCUCCUGACAGCUUUAGUUUGGCAUGGGGAAUGGCAGGACUGGGUUAGCAUUAUUUGCCAUCACAUAAAUAAAUAGAGAAAAAGUACUAAUUAGUAAACAAACAGAACCUACAUAGUGUGUUGGCCAGGCGCUGGAAUUAAUUAGUGAUGGAACUGAUCUCCUAAUGGAGUGAUAAAAAAGUUCCCAUUUCUUUUUAAUUUCUAUGUGAUUUGGUAUGAUUUUACUUUUUACUUUUUUUUCCUACGACUUCACUUGCAGCAGGCUUAUGUGGAACCCUUAUUUUUAUAAAUAUAAGAAGCAGAACUGCUGUACAUUGUUAAGCUGAGUUGUCCUCAUUUUGAAGUUUCAGAUGGAAUAAAUGCAAGGUAGCCAUAUACUGCUAUAAAACUGCCUUUAAGUCAGUUGCUAUUUCUGCAUGAUCUAUUUUGCACUGUAUUGUAAUUCAGGUGGGCUGCUCACGUGGGCGCCUCUAAUUUCGGUGGAGAUGUGUGAUUUGUGAGCUGUGAGCAGCUGUGAGGCCUGGCAUAGUUUAAUUUAAGGAUCUGUCUCCUUCUGUGUUUAUGAAGAUAAUUAUACUCAUGUUAAAUGUAAAAUAUCAGUUCUCUAAAUUCAGUUAAUGUUUUUUGUUGGUUUGUUUGAUUGGUUGGUUUGUUUUAGUGGAAAUCUGUCUCAGUAAGACUGGAAUUGUUUCAGUGUGAGAAGGUAGUAGAAUCUGUUAUGUGAGUGUGUCUGAUAAGACAAAUGUAUACCAGAAUUGUCAUUAUGUUGUGGCAAAAAGGCUACAGCUGACCAAAUACUUUGACCAAAAAAAAAGAAGCAAAAAAUAAGAAAAUCAGGUUUCCAAUAGUCUGCUUUUGAGGCUGAAUUGCCUUUUGUAGCAUAGAAAACUCACUUUUCACAUCCAGUGGGAGAUUUGUACCCAACAGAUCCCAAUGUUGCUGCAGUCCUAUGUAAGUGUAUUACUUUGCUGUUUCAAAUUUACCAAGUCUUGACACAGCACUUUUCAAAGUCACUUGCUCUUUUCCUAUUCAUGGUAGGAAAUUUGUCUUUUCAUUCCUUAGGCUGUUUUAGAUUCUGUGUUUGAUAGGAGUAAUUCUUUUGUUGUUGUUCCAAAUGCUCCAUCAUUUGAGCAAUUUCAGAUUGUAACAAAUUGUUCAUACUGGUACGUUAAUGAGUGUGGAUUCCAAACAUCUGUCUGACAGAACACAUUUCAUUUGGUUACGUAGCAGUAUUUUCAAAGCUAUCACUAUUUUUUCAUUUUUCUUUUGGCAAACAGUAAGAAAAAAGAGCAACAUUUCUACAGUGUAACUGUAGAAGUCAAAGUUUGUUUUGUUGGGUUUUGCAUUCAUGUAUGCCUACUUCCUUAGCAGAAGCGUCAUGAUUUUUAGAAUAUUUUUUCAUGAUUUAUUUCUUUUUCUAUUCUGUUGUGCAGUAUCUAACUGCAUCCUUCUAAAUUUCUUUUUCCUUAAUGACCACUAUUAUUUAGUUGGCUUUUGUUUUGUUUUGUUUUGUUUUCACUAGAACUCAGCUACAAGCUACUUUUACUUAAAAUAGUCACAGCUUGUAGUAAGUAGCACAAGUUUCUAGAGAUGUUCUCCACUCAGUAUCAAUUACAGGACUUGUUAUAAUGAUAUGUAGGUUAAAUUUGACGAUUUGUGGAAUACAAGAAGUCAGAAUUAACAUAGUUUUAAGUAUAAAAGUGAUGCUUCAACUUCAUCUUGAACAGCUUUCAUAUCUGCACAUCCGUUUUGCAAACUUGCAGUUAGUAUUUACUGUCUUUUGUGACUUUGUAAUGGUUGGUGCUUUUCUCAGUGUUUCAUCUCUGAAUGUGGGACCUCAGGAACGUAAAUACCCCUGUGCUUCCCAUAACUGUGAAGAAAAUCCUGAAAAAAGGGAUAUCUUGGGUGCAAUCUUAAGGCUUGUAGAGAAGCAAACAAAUUGAAAGUAAGACCAUUUGUUUUAAAAUGAAAUUAUUUUAAAAAGUCCAUCCUGGUAAUAGAGAAAACAGGUUAAGCCCAUCCUGAGAUUUUCAAAGCUUGCCAUAGAAUACUCUGCUGUUACAGCUGAGUUUUUAACCCCCAGAUAAUUUGAUGUUCAUUGUGAGAUUACCAGUUUUCUACAUAGAUUUUAAGAAGCAGCUCAAAGACCAAUGUAUUUUUUUUUUAACUCUCAUUUUUUUAGUACUUCAUGAUUGUGGAGUCUUGAAGGUUUGCUUGUUUUUUGAAACUGGCAGUGCUACCUAUUUGUUACUAACUUUUGCUUCAGCCAGCAGUCUCUAUGACAUGUGCUGUUAAAGGAAUGAAAAUUUAUCUUUUAUGGUCAUAUCUUGAAUCCAUACCAUCUUAAUUGUAUUCAUUGCGUAAGUUUUGUGUUAGAUCAUGUUUUCUGAAUUCUCCUACACAUUGCAAUGCAUAAGAUAGAACUUUAUUUGUUAGGGCAACAAUUUGGUAAUGUUAUAUAUAAUCAUAUUUAUAUUUUAGUAUAAAUAUAACUGGAGAAAAAAAAUAAGCAGGGUCAGAAGUAGGAGUGGAAGACUUAUGGGUGAAAUAGACUUGGUGAGACAACCCAGCAUGGAUGGGAAGGCUGUCCUGAAAGGAUGCUGCUGCAUGGAGCUCUUUCAAAAACUGCUGGUGGAAAGACAGCAGCAGCAAACAAUGAAAUGAAACGUGCUAUGUAGGAAACUGUCACUGUUGGUUGUCAUCUGCAAACAGAUGUUCCUGGGCAACGUUAAGGCCUUAUGGUGAUACCUGAAGGUGAGCAGCUUCUGGCGAGGUGGCAGUAGUUUUCUGGGGACAAAAGGCCGUGGGGAUGGCCUACAGGCUUGAGACAUUAAAACUUAAUCCAUACGGAGGUCCACAUGUCUCUAUUUUGUAUGCUCUGAGUUUGUAGAGCAUGCUUAGGAACAUCAUCGAGGGAAGUUACAUCAGCUGGAGUCACUGACUAACCUGUGAGAAAAACAAGCACAAAAGAUUAAUGGUGCAGUCAAUGAUGAUAUAGAGGAUGGGAAUUCAUCCAGUGCUGUAACCAUCCACAUCAGAAAAGGAAAAAAAAAAAGAUUGUUUUACUGGAUAUUGCAUUAAUUCCUGCUUGAAAUGAAUUUCAUUCUGGACUGAAAUUAGUGUUUUCUAAGUGUUCAGAUUUACUUCUGAGUAGACAUUUUUUAUCCUGGACAUAGUAAAAAAAAAAAAAAAAAGAGAAAAUGCUAGGGUUUUCUUUUAAAAAUACAAGUAUUUCUUCUUUCAGCUGGUAUUGUAUGUUUCCAUUGUCGGCUAAUUUCUGCUUUAUUUACUGUCAAUUCAGUGCUCAUCUCUCUGGGGUGAUUUCCUCAAUAAAAUGAGAAGGAUUUAGUAUGAUGCACGGAAAACUUCUGGUCGUUUUUCCAGGGCUGGGUGAUUCUGUCACAUUCCCUUCACUACGAGGACUCCUACCUGCUCUUGUGAAACCACCUCCUGCAGCCGAGGUUGCUGCUGUGCUGGUGUGAGCUGGCUGGCUGCUGCCAUUUCUCUGACAGCUCCAUAACCUUCAGGGCAUGGCUAGAGCUGAGCGCCUGGUGCUCUCAAGGAGACAGUUUGCUUGUGACAGAAAUAUAAACUGCUUUUGAUAUAUAGCACCAAGCUUCGCUCCUCUAUCAUUGUGUUGGGAAACUUGCACCUCUUAAGGCUGACACUGCAGUCAGGAGUCAUCCCAGCAGGUUUAGGUUAGGCUCACCAGGUUGUUGUCUGCUAUUUUGUACUUUCUUCCUUGUCUGCUGUGCUCCCCACAACUGCACGACUGCAUUAGUACGCUGUCUCCGUAGCCUUCAUCUUCUGUUUCACAUUAACUCACUCUGGAUGUACGUGACAGAACAUUUGCUUUUCCCUGGCAGCAGCUGAAAUUUUCCUUGAUGAGCCUGAGAUCAAAUGUCUGUAUUUGCUCAGAAUGUGUAAUCUUUCAUUUUCCAAAAGUGAGUUACUAAUUAACUGUCAAACGGGAACAAAAUGUAAACCAAGACACUGCUGUCUCCCAGACCUUUCAGUGCUCUCAUCUGGGGCUCCUUGAGCAGCAUCCUAAUGUGAAUGCCACUCACUGAAGAUGCAGAACAAGAAUGUUCAGUGCUCUGUGUAGCAGGAUAUUCAGCCCAUUUGCAGUAUCAAGAAAUCUAACGGCUUUUUCCUUGGCAGGAGCAACCAGCAGGAAGACAACAGGGGUAGGUUCUUCUACUCAGUAGUUAAAAAUGAAUAGACAGAGUCCCACUAGGCAAAAGUUGGUGACAGAGAUGAAGUGAAAGUGGACUCCUCUAGAAGCUUGUCUUGCAGUUGGGAUUGACAAGGUCUCAUCUUUCAUCUUGGCCUCUAAUGAGCAGCAUUUUUUGUCUAAUAGCUAUAUUUGUUUCAGUUUCUAUGUCUGGUAAAGUUUUCCAAGACAUUGAAUUAAAGCUAACGCUCAGUCAAAAUGCAGUUGCCUAUUUUAAAGGCACUUCCAUUUUAGACUGGUACUAGGAAAAUAUACACACUACUUUAUUGCUUACACUGUACUUUCUGAGUUAUUUUUCACACUCUAAUCAAAGUAAUGCCAUAUCUGUUUGCUGAUAUGUUUUUAAUCACUUGUCGUUCAAAUAAAUUGCUUACCACACUAAUUA